GACGAACGCUGGCGGCGUGCUUAACACAUGCAAGUAGCACGAAGUGACGAACGGGUGAGUAAUACGUGGGUAACUGCCCUCCUUUUUGGGAUAAACCUUUGAAACGGGGUCUAAUACCGCAUAACGGGGGAUGAAUCGCGUACUAUCAGCUUUGGGGUGGGGUAUGGGCCUAACAAGGCGACGACGGGUGGCCGGCCUGAGAGGGCGGACGGCCACAUUGGGCUGGGAUACGGCCCGAACUCAUACGGGAUGCAGCAGUGGGGAAUAUUGCAAAAUGGGGGAAACCCUGAUGCAGCAACGCGCGUGCUGGAUGACGGUCUUCGUGUUGUAACCCGCUUUCAGCCAGGACGCGGUAGUGGCAGAAGAAGCACCGGCUAACGACGUGCCAGCAGCCGCGGUAAUUC
rnacentral:rRNA from 1 species